rnacentral:misc_RNA from 1 species
UUUCCGUAGGUGAACCUGCGGAAGGAUCAUUAUUGAAAUAAACCUGAUGGGUUGUUACUGGCUCUCUAGGGAGCAUGUGCACGCCUUGUCAUCUUUAUAUCUCCACCUGUGCACCUUUUGUAGACCUUUCAGGUCUAUGUUGCUUCAUUUAUACCCCAAUGUAUGUUAAUAGAAUGUUGUGCCUAUAUUAUAAUAUAUACAACUUUCAGCAACGGAUCUCUUGGCUCUC